rfam:Dermabacter sp. HFH0086 genomic scaffold acArI-supercont-complete, whole genome shotgun sequence.
GGCGACUCCCCGCGUGGUGUCAUCCAUCGGAAUCCCCCAGGGCUUGACGGCAGCAAGGGUACGAAGGCUCUGGCAGGUGCGCGGGGAGUCGUUUUA